UUUACUUUGCCGCCGGGUAAAGGUUAAUAAGUGUUCUAAACAGUCCGUUAGGCCUUAGAAGGGGUGUUUUUGAACACUUUUUUACAU
rnacentral:ncRNA from 1 species